rnacentral:rRNA from 1 species
GAUGAACGCUGGCGGCGUGCCUAAUACAUGCAAGUCGAGCGAACAGACGAGGAGCUUGCUCCUUUGACGUUAGCGGCGGACGGGUGAGUAACACGUGGAUAACCUACCUAUAAGACUGGGAUAACUUCGGGAAACCGGAGCUAAUACCGGAUAAUAUAUUGAACCGCAUGGUUCAAUAGUGAAAGACGGUUUUGCUGUCACUUAUAGAUGGAUCCGCGCCGCAUUAGCUAGUUGGUAAGGUAACGGCUUACCAAGGCAACGAUGCGUAGCCGACCUGAGAGGGUGAUCGGCCACACUGGAACGGAGACACGGUCCAGACUCCUACGGGAGGCAGCAGUAGGGAAUCUUCCGCAAUGGGCGAAAGCCUGACGGAGCAACGCCGCGUGAGUGAUGAAGGUCUUCGGAUCGUAAAACUCUGUUAUUAGGGAAGAACAAAUGUGUAAGUAACUAUGCACGUCUUGACGGUACCUAAUCAGAAAGCCACGGCUAACUACGUG